rnacentral:lncRNA from 1 species
GACGGAGCAUCUGUUGAGGAAAGUGAUUGUCCUCCCGGCUUGUGGUGUGGUUCGGCGUAAAAAUAGCAGAGGAAAUGCUGGAGGACCGAAUGAGAACUGGAAAUGGGAUUAGGAUUAACAUAAAUGUCUACAAACGUAAUCGAUAAUCCUGAAUACAUUCAUAUUCCAUCAUCAAAAUCUGUAUAGUACUGCAUUAAGCAAUGUCAUUAUUUUGAAUCAAUGUUGUUUAUCACAAAAAUGUUCAUCAUGUUCACUAUGACCAUGAUGACCAAGAAAUACAAUUACGACACCCCAUUAGCUUACUUACUAACUCAAAGGUCAAGUACACCCCAGAAAAAUGUUUAUUUUAAUCAAUAGAGAAAAAAUCAAACAAGCCCAAAGCUGAAAA